rfam:Cyberlindnera jadinii NRRL Y-1542 unplaced genomic scaffold CYBJAscaffold_2, whole genome shotgun sequence.
UACAAUGUCUUUUAACUAGGCACCCAGAGUCACGGUCCGAUUGCCUUUCUCCUCUAUGGACGGGCAAAUGUAAGCUAUAUGUUUGCAUUUUUCGUGCUCGCGGUAGCCUUAGAUUGAACCAAGGUCAGCUCCAAUUGGGGUUGGUCGGUUUUGUCCAACUGUUUUUUGUCGUGUCUUUCUUGUUGUGGAUUGACUACGCGGUUCUAAACCUACAUAU